rnacentral:pre_miRNA from 12 species
ACGGGGUGGCCACUCUCCCUGUCCUCCAGGAGCUCACGUGCGCCUGCCUGUGAGCGCCUCGACGACAGAGCCGGUGUCCGCCUCAGUGUCCGCAUC